rnacentral:rRNA from 1 species
GUCUUUUUGAUCAUAAUUUAAAGUCUAACCUGCCCAAUGAUAGUUUUAAUGGCCGCAGUAUUUUGACUGUGCAAAGGUAGCAUAAUCAUUAGUUUUUUAAUUGAAAGCUAGAAUGAAUGGUUGAACGAAAAAAAUGCUGUCUCAAUUUAAUUUAUUUAGAAUUUUAUUUUUAAGUUAAAAAGCUUAAAUUUAAUUAAAAGACGAGAAGACCCUAUAGAGUUUUAUAUUUUAAGAAUUUAUUUUUUAGAAAUUUUUUAAUUUAAAUUAAUAUUUUAUUGGGGUGAUAAAUAAAUUUAAUUAACUUUAUUAUUAUUUAAACAUUUAUAAAUGAAAAGUUGAUCCAUAUUAAUGAUUAUAAGAUUAAAUUACCUUAGGGAUAACAGCGUAAUUUUUUUAGAGAGUUCAAAUCGAUAAAAAAGAUUGCGACCUCGAUGUUGGAUUAAAAUUUAUUUUUGGUGUAGAAGCUAAAAUAUUAAGUCUGUUCGACUUUUAAAAUUUUACAUGAUCUGAGUUUAAACCGGUGUGAGCCAGGUUGGUUUCUAUCUUUAAUAAGUUAAAAUAUUUUAGUACGAAAGGACCAAAUAUUUAUUAAAUUAAUUAAUUAAUUUGAAUAU